rnacentral:lncRNA from 1 species
CCGCAAUGGACAAAAAGGUGACGACCCUAACCCCAGCAUCUCUCAUUGAUCUUCCUCAUGACAAAAGAACUGAAAACCCAAGCAACCUCCUUAUCCAUGGCAGCCGCAUAACACCAAGGACCCCUGUAUUAUCGUCUUCCUCACACCCCAUCGUCGGAUAAGAACGCAGCAACGAAAACCCAACAGACCCAAUCGUUUGCUUCGUCUUCUCCAGCGAACAAAGCCAACGCCGAGCACUCCUUCGACCAGAUUGCCCGAAACACACACACACAACUACCGUUCCACCCUCUCACAUCUGUUGCUACCAUGACUGGUCGGAAAUAUAGCAAAAAUAGUGACAGAACGUGAGAGGUUGCCAAUCAUCGAGCCGUUGAGGUCGUCGUUAUCUGUUCGAAGAUCAGUUGCCGGUUCGAGGUUCCAGGUUUCCGUUCUGGUCGAAAAUUCUAUAAUCUAGGCUUGUUGUUAUUUCUCGUUGGAUCACGGAACCAAUGGUUGUGUAUUCACUGAAGAACUCUCUUAGUGGAACUUUGUUUUUCAAGUUUUUUGAUUUGAAGUAUCGCUGUCUACCAAGUGCCUUCAAAGUCCAUAUUUCCAUUGUUUGCUUGCCAUUAAAUUUUGAGGCUUGUUCCUUUGUGCUUAAACAAAUGUAUUUCACUUUUUCCGCACAUAUUUGACUGAAAUUUCAGCUUCAGGUUUCCGGUCGUGGUUCUGGCUUCGGGUUCAUUAGUCCCGUUACUGUCCCUG